CCGCACCCAAUCACCCGCGUCUUGCCCCACUCCCACCCCAGCCGCCAAACGAACCCUAGCUCUCUUUCUCUUUCCCCUCUAUCCCCACGAGCCGCCGCACCCCUCCCUCGAUCCCCACAAUCCUCUCCUCGCUAGCAUACGCCGGCCGGCCUCGUCUCUCCACUCACCUCCACUUAUCCUCUACCAUGUCAUCGUCGAUCCCACCGCCAGCCUUCUCCUCUGCUCGCCUCCUCAUGUCCUCUUCCAUGUCACCGUCGAUCCAGAUCGGACAUAGGUCGUCUUCGCGGUGCGGAUGGGGAUGUAGGGGAGGUGUAGGAUGCGGACGACAAGGGAAGGAGGAGGCCGGCAAGGAAGGCAAGCAACAGCGGGGAAGGAGAAGGUGAGCGGUCCUAGCAUGGGGAAGGGGCAGGGUGAGGCCUCGCGCACCUGCCGGCGGCCGGCAGGUCGACUUGUUGCGCCACCGCAUCGUCACCUCCUCUGCACCAUGAGAGGCGCAUCCUCUGCGCCAUGAGAGGCGCCACCUUUGCCUCCCCCCACUGGGCAAGUAGCUCGAGGUGAACAGGCGGUGUGGGAAGGCUUGAGGAACCAGGAGCUCAUCCCUCCUCCCAUGCUGCCUCGCGGAUCUAGAGUAUAAGGAGGCAACAUGUGCCUGUUGCAGGCGGCUCGAGCGAUGCAAGCUGGCGGCGAACUAGGUGCUCCACUCUUUCUCUCCCUCACUUAAUUUCUUCCUCACAUGUAUUUUAGUUCGCUAUUAUAUGGAUUUUUAAACUUGACGUGUACAGAUCUGACAUAGAAGAGAGGAAGAAUAAUUUUAGCUAAGAGUGGAAUUUAGAGUUCAAAGAAUCAGUUGAUGCUAUUGACCAAAGAGCUAUUUUUGUUACAGUUCUUCUGAAUUAGUAAACCAGAAGGACUAAAACAUCAUUGAUCAGCCAUUGUUGUUAGAUUGAUGUUGCCUUGAUUACCACUUUGUUUGGUAGCUACACUAUAAAUUCUUGAGAUAUAGUGCAAUGGUUCAUAGUUUGUUGCGUAAUCAUAUUGAUUCUGCUGAAUUAAUACUCUCUUUGUACAUCUAGGAUUCCUACUUGCGACAAUGAUCUUUCUACUCAUGAGUAGUCCUUUUUUAUACUGAAUUUUGAUGCAUACUCUAUGCAGAAAAGAAGGCCUCCUCGGACAUUAAGAAGGUACAAUUAGGUAGUAGUGGAAGUGCUCCCUUCAAAAACAAGUAAUAUCUCUUAAUUAUUACACUAGAAUGUAUGCAUGGUAAAUACCAUGACCUUGCAAAUUUACAUCUGUCCCCUUCUCCUUUUCUCAGGAACUUGGCAGAAGCUCUACAUAUGCAAAUGGAGGUUCAGACACAGCUCCAUGAACAGUUAUAGGUGCCUUAUUUGUUCCUGUUUUCGAGCUCUAAUAGGAUGGUGUUGUUGUCGCCUUGUCGGCAUAUAUUUCUGAUAGUAGGAGCAUUCUUUUUCUUGCUUCACAAUAAUUACUGCGCUUUGUGUAUAUAUGAACGCAAAUACAUAUUUAAAUGGGUGCUAAAUGUUGUUGUGGCAUGGUGGACUUUGGAGACUAGCGCUUUUAUAGUAUUGUUACGGACUCUGUUUUUUUUACUAAUAAUCAUAUUGAUUCUACCGAACUAAUCCUCUCUUUGUAUAUCUAGGAUUCCUACUAGAACAUGUGUCAUUCCAAAUUGUGACAAUGAUCUUUCUACUCAUGAGCAGUCCUUUUUAUACUGAAUUUUGAUGCAUAUUGUAUGUGACAAGAAGGACUCCUCGGACAUUAAGAAGGUACGACUAGGUAGCAGUGGAAGUGCUCCGUUCAAAAGCAACUAAUAUCUCUGAAUUAUUACACUAGAAUGUAUGCAUGGUAAAUACCAUGACCUUACAAAUUUACAUCUGUCCCCUUCUCAUUUUCUUAGGAACUUGGCAGAAGCUCUACAUAUGCAAAUGGAGGUUCAGACACAGCUCCAUGAGCAGGUAUAGGUGCCUUCUCUGUUCCUAUUUUCGAGCUCUAAUAGGAUGGUGUUGUUGUCGGCACAUUUUUCUGAUAGUAGGAGCAUUCUUUUUCUGCUUCACAAUAAUUACCGUACUUUGUGUAUAUAUGAACCCAAAUCCAUAUUUAAAUGGGUGCUAAAUGUUUUUUCAGCAUGGUGGACUUUGGAGACUAGCGCUUUUAUAGUAUUGUUACAGACUCCGUUUUUUACUAAAUAAAAUUGAUUCAUCAACACUGCCCUACUGUUUUUGAUGCACAAAAUUAGUCAAUCAACACAUUGGCCUGCUGAAAAUCAACACAUUGGACUGCAGCCAUACUAAUUACUGCAGAAUAUGGUGGUCAGCAAAAUCUACAAGAACAACUGUCCUAGGUGUAGAAUAACAAGGGGUGUGUGCUACGAAAAAUUAAGAGAGGGGGACAAUGAAAAGGAGUUGCCUCGACAGUACAUUGCUAGACGACCUCAAUGCGGUGCUCAGGGUGGCAAACGAAGAGGCGCCCAAUGUCCUUGUGGUGGAGAUAGGGGAGGACUUGGGCGUCCUGACGGUGGAGAACAGGGACGCGCCGGUGUCCUCGUGGUGGAGAAUGAGGAGACGACCUGCAUCCUUGCAGUGGGGAACGGGAAAGCAUAUUAGCAUCUUGUUCCUAAAAAAUAUAGUUUAGUGUGGUGUUUCCCGUUGAUAGUAAGUUGACUGCCAAUUUCACAGCUUUUACAGUUUUAGGAGGUGCUGCAAGAUUAUUUUUGCAUUGUUAUCAUAGUGUGGUGUUUCCGUUGAUAGUAAGUUGACUGCCAAUUUCACAGCUUUUACAGUUUUAGGAGGUGCUGCAAGAUUAUUUUGCAUUGUUAUCUUAUAUGAUUUUCAGAUUAUUCUAUCAUGAAGUAUUGGUUUAUUAUUGAGGUAGCCUUAGAUGGAGGAGCUGAAUGCAGUUUUUGUAUCUUUUUUCAAAGUCCUGAAUGGUCCCAUGAAAAUCCUUGUAUGUGCAGUUUCAGAGCCUCAUCACACUGGUACGAAAAUAGGUAUUUAGGUAAUCGAAGGCUCCAUUUUUUCUAUUAUAUAGAUUAUAUAGCAUGGUGAUCGAAGGUAGGUUGUCACAUAGGGUUUGUUGCUUGUGAAAAUUAUAUACAGCCAUGACCAUGAGUCCCUGACAAAAUAAUCUCAGCUCAUGUUACUAGGAUCAGGGAACCUCGACCACUUUUCUGAAACACGACGCAUCUCAUGUUCCUACUUUCCCAGCUACAAUACUAUGUACUUCAUUCUUACAUUUGCUUUUCGAAGUUAUAUCGCUUUCUUUUCCCUCAUAAACUUGCUAAUGAUAUUGGCGAAGUAAUCCCCACUUCAGAUUUCCCAUUUAAUGAAUAACUAAUUUAGUUUGUUCAAAAAUUGUAGGUCAAGAGCCAUGAAUAGGAGCAAGGCAUCACACUCCAUCUCCGAAGCAAAAACAUUUUGCUUGUAAUAAUGAACUGUAGUUUACCACAAUCUCUCAAAAACAGGCCUACCUAUUACCAGUCCGUUUCUUGCCUUUCUUUAGGAAGUAUGCUCGGUCGUAUAUAUUUACAUUCGUGUUGUUUAGUUGUGGUUUGUAUGCUUGAAAAUACGUUUUAACCGAGCUUGAAAAUUCUUAUGUGAAGUGAAAUUGUAUCUAACACUUUGUAAAGAACAAAUGAAACACGUUUCAAAUAAGUCUUAGUCUAAAUCGACAACUUGUGCCAUUUGACAUCGUAAUCAUAAAUGGUUGCUAAAGAGUUU
rnacentral:lncRNA from 1 species